rnacentral:rRNA from 1 species
GACGAACGCUGGCGGCGUGCUUAACACAUGCAAGUCGAGCGAUGAAGUUCCUUCGGGAAUGGAUUAGCGGCGGACGGGUGAGUAACACGUGGGUAACCUGCCUCAUAGAGGGGAAUAGCCUUCCGAAAGGAAGAUUAAUACCGCAUAAGAUUGUAGUAUCGCAUGAUACAGCAAUUAAAGGAGUAAUUCGCUAUGAGAUGGACCCGCGUCGCAUUAGCUAGUUGGUGAGGUAACGGCUCACCAAGGCGACGAUGCGUAGCCGACCUGAGAGGGUGAUCGGCCACAUUGGGACUGAGACACGGCCCAGACUCCUACGGGAGGCAGCAGUGGGGAAUAUUGCACAAUGGGGGAAACCCUGAUGCAGCAACGCCGCGUGAGUGAUGACGGUCUUCGGAUUGUAAAACCCUGUCUUCAGGGGCGAUAAUGACGGUACCUGAGGAGGAAGCCACGGCUAACUACGUGCCAGCCGCCGCAGUAA